GCUCAGGGGAUAGAGCAGAGGCUUUCUAAUCCUCCGGUCGGGGGUUCGAUUCCCUCCUGGGGCA
rnacentral:tRNA from 1 species